UACAGAGGUGGCAAGCGUUGUUCGGAAUUACUGGGCGUAAAGGGCGCGUAGGCGGCCCUCUAAGUCAGACGUGAAAUCCCCCGGCUUAACCUGGGAACUGCGUCUGAUACUGGCGGGCUUGAGGACAGGAGAGGAACGCGGAAUUCCAGGUGUAGCGGUGAAAUGCGUAGAUAUCUGGAGGAACACCGGUGGCGAAGGCGGCGUUCUGGACUGUUUCUGACACUGAAAAACGAAAGCCAGGGGAGCAAACGGG
rnacentral:rRNA from 1 species